ACUAAGCGUACACGGUGGAUGCCCUGGCAGUCAGAGGCGAUGAAGGACGUGCUAAUCUGCGAUAAGCGUCGGUAAGGUGAUAUGAACCGUUAUAACCGGCGAUUUCCGAAUGGGGAAACCCAGUGUGUUUCGACACACUAUCAUUAACUGAAUCCAUAGGUUAAUGAGGCGAACCGGGGGAACUGAAACAUCUAAGUACCCCGAGGAAAAGAAAUCAACCGAGAUUCCCCCAGUAGCGGCGAGCGAACGGGGAGCAGCCCAGAGCCUGAAUCAGUGUGUGUGUUAGUGGAAGCGUCUGGAAAGGCGCGCGAUACAGGGUGACAGCCCCGUACACAAAAAUGCACAUGCUGUGAGCUCGAUGAGUAGGGCGGGACACGUGGUAUCCUGUCUGAAUAUGGGGGGACCAUCCUCCAAGGCUAAAUACUCCUGACUGACCGAUAGUGAACCAGUACCGUGAGGGAAAGGCGAAAAGAACCCCGGCGAGGGGAGUGAAAAAGAACCUGAAACCGUGUACGUACAAGCAGUGGGAGCACGCUUAGGCGUGUGACUGCGUACCUUUUGUAUAAUGGGUCAGCGACUUAUAUUCUGUAGCAAGGUUAACCGAAUAGGGGAGCCGAAGGGAAACCGAGUCUUAACUGGGCGUUAAGUUGCAGGGUAUAGACCCGAAACCCGGUGAUCUAGCCAUGGGCAGGUUGAAGGUUGGGUAACACUAACUGGAGGACCGAACCGACUAAUGUUGAAAAAUUAGCGGAUGACUUGUGGCUGGGGGUGAAAGGCCAAUCAAACCGGGAGAUAGCUGGUUCUCCCCGAAAGCUAUUUAGGUAGCGCCUCGUGAAUUCAUCUCCGGGGGUAGAGCACUGUUUCGGCAAGGGGGUCAUCCCGACUUACCAACCCGAUGCAAACUGCGAAUACCGGAGAAUGUUAUCACGGGAGACACACGGCGGGUGCUAACGUCCGUCGUGAAGAGGGAAACAACCCAGACCGCCAGCUAAGGUCCCAAAGUCAUGGUUAAGUGGGAAACGAUGUGGGAAGGCCCAGACAGCCAGGAUGUUGGCUUAGAAGCAGCCAUCAUUUAAAGAAAGCGUAAUAGCUCACUGGUCGAGUCGGCCUGCGCGGAAGAUGUAACGGGGCUAAACCAUGCACCGAAGCUGCGGCAGCGACGCUUAUGCGUUGUUGGGUAGGGGAGCGUUCUGUAAGCCUGCGAAGGUGUGCUGUGAGGCAUGCUGGAGGUAUCAGAAGUGCGAAUGCUGACAUAAGUAACGAUAAAGCGGGUGAAAAGCCCGCUCGCCGGAAGACCAAGGGUUCCUGUCCAACGUUAAUCGGGGCAGGGUGAGUCGACCCCUAAGGCGAGGCCGAAAGGCGUAGUCGAUGGGAAACAGGUUAAUAUUCCUGUACUUGGUGUUACUGCGAAGGGGGGACGGAGAAGGCUAUGUUGGCCGGGCGACGGUUGUCCCGGUUUAAGCGUGUAGGCUGGUUUUCCAGGCAAAUCCGGAAAAUCAAGGCUGAGGCGUGAUGACGAGGCACUACGGUGCUGAAGCAACAAAUGCCCUGCUUCCAGGAAAAGCCUCUAAGCAUCAGGUAACAUCAAAUCGUACCCCAAACCGACACAGGUGGUCAGGUAGAGAAUACCAAGGCGCUUGAGAGAACUCGGGUGAAGGAACUAGGCAAAAUGGUGCCGUAACUUCGGGAGAAGGCACGCUGAUAUGUAGGUGAAGUCCCUCGCGGAUGGAGCUGAAAUCAGUCGAAGAUACCAGCUGGCUGCAACUGUUUAUUAAAAACACAGCACUGUGCAAACACGAAAGUGGACGUAUACGGUGUGACGCCUGCCCGGUGCCGGAAGGUUAAUUGAUGGGGUUAGCGCAAGCGAAGCUCUUGAUCGAAGCCCCGGUAAACGGCGGCCGUAACUAUAACGGUCCUAAGGUAGCGAAAUUCCUUGUCGGGUAAGUUCCGACCUGCACGAAUGGCGUAAUGAUGGCCAGGCUGUCUCCACCCGAGACUCAGUGAAAUUGAACUCGCUGUGAAGAUGCAGUGUACCCGCGGCAAGACGGAAAGACCCCGUGAACCUUUACUAUAGCUUGACACUGAACAUUGAGCCUUGAUGUGUAGGAUAGGUGGGAGGCUUUGAAGUGUGGACGCCAGUCUGCAUGGAGCCGACCUUGAAAUACCACCCUUUAAUGUUUGAUGUUCUAACGUUGACCCGUAAUCCGGGUUGCGGACAGUGUCUGGUGGGUAGUUUGACUGGGGCGGUCUCCUCCUAAAGAGUAACGGAGGAGCACGAAGGUUGGCUAAUCCUGGUCGGACAUCAGGAGGUUAGUGCAAUGGCAUAAGCCAGCUUGACUGCGAGCGUGACGGCGCGAGCAGGUGCGAAAGCAGGUCAUAGUGAUCCGGUGGUUCUGAAUGGAAGGGCCAUCGCUCAACGGAUAAAAGGUACUCCGGGGAUAACAGGCUGAUACCGCCCAAGAGUUCAUAUCGACGGCGGUGUUUGGCACCUCGAUGUCGGCUCAUCACAUCCUGGGGCUGAAGUAGGUCCCAAGGGUAUGGCUGUUCGCCAUUUAAAGUGGUACGCGAGCUGGGUUUAGAACGUCGUGAGACAGUUCGGUCCCUAUCUGCCGUGGGCGCUGGAGAACUGAGGGGGGCUGCUCCUAGUACGAGAGGACCGGAGUGGACGCAUCACUGGUGUUCGGGUUGUCAUGCCAAUGGCACUGCCCGGUAGCUAAAUGCGGAAGAGAUAAGUGCUGAAAGCAUCUAAGCACGAAACUUGCCCCGAGAUGAGUUCUCCCUGACUCCUUGAGAGUCCUGAAGGAACGUUGAAGACGACGACGUUGAUAGGCCGGGUGUGUAAGCGCAGCGAUGCGUUGAGCUAACCGGUACUAAUGAACCGUGAGGCUUAACC
rnacentral:rRNA from 1 species